rnacentral:rRNA from 1 species
AUUGAACGCUGGCGGCAGGCCUAACACAUGCAAGUCGAGCGGAUGAAGGGAGCUUGCUCCUGGAUUCAGCGGCGGACGGGUGAGUAAUGCCUAGGAAUCUGCCUGGUAGUGGGGGAUAACGUCCGGAAACGGGCGCUAAUACCGCAUACGUCCUGAGGGAGAAAGUGGGGGAUCUUCGGACCUCACGCUAUCAGAUGGGCCUAGGUCGGAUUAGCUAGUUGGUGGGGUAAAGGCCUACCAAGGCGACGAUCCGUAACUGGUCUGAGAGGAUGAUCAGUCACACUGGAACUGAGACACGGUCCAGACUCCUACGGGGGGCAGCAGUGGGGAAUAUUGGACAAUGGGCGAAAGCCUGAUCCAGCCAUGCCGCGUGUGUGAAGAAGGUCUUCGGAUUGUAAAGCACUUUAAGUUGGGAGGAAGGGCAGUAAGUUAAUACCUUGCUGUUUUGACGUUACCAACAGAAUAAGCACCGGCUAACUUCGUG